GGGCAGAUAGAUCUUGACCUGAUAAACAUUUUUGCCCCCAUCAGAUUUCCUCUAAAUGCUUUGGUUUUUGAGUUAUAAGCCAAAAACUGCAUUUUACCCCUAUGUUCUAUUUUUAGCCGUGGCGGCCAUCUUGGUUGGUUGACCGGGUCACGCCACACAUUUUUUAAACUAGAUACCCUAAAGAUGAUUGUGGCCAAGUUUGGAUUAAUUUGGCCCAGUAGUUUCAGAGGAGAAGAUUUUUUGUAAAAGAUUACUUAGAUUUUAUGAAAAAUGGUUAAAAAUUGACUAUAAAGGGCAAUAACUCCUAAAGGGGUCAACUGACCAUUUCGGUCAUGUUGACUUAUUUGUAAAUCUAACUUUGCCGAACAUUAUUGCUGUUAC
rnacentral:lncRNA from 1 species